rnacentral:rRNA from 2 species
AACGGCGAGUGAAGAGGAAAGAGCUCAAAGUUGGAACCUGUUUGGCCUAGCUAAACCGGAUUGUAGACUGUAGAAGUGUUUUCCAGGCAAGCCGAGUAAAUAAGUCCUUUGGAACAGGGCAUCAUAGAGGGUGAGAAUCCCGUCUUUGGCUUGAGCAUUUGCCUUUUGUGAUACGCUUUCAAAGAGUCAGGUUGUUUGGGAAUGCAGCCUAAAUUGGGUGGUAAAUCUCACCUAAAGCUAAAUAUUGGCGAGAAACCGAUAGCGAACAAGUACCGUGAGGGAAAGAUGAAAAGAACUUUGAAAAGAGAGUUAAACAGUAUGUGAAAUUGUUAAAAGGGAACCGUUUGGAGCCAGACUGGCUUGUCUGUAAUCAAUCUAGGCUUCGGCCUGGAUGCACUUGCAGGCUAUGCCUGCCAACGACAAUUUGACUUGAGGGAAAAAACUAGGGGAAAUGUGGCCCACUUGUGGGUGUUAUAGUCCCUUAGAAAAUACCUUGGGUUGGAUUGAGGAACGCAGCGAAUGCUUUUUGGCGAGUUUUCCAGGAAGGUUUUCUGAGGUACUACGGUAUCAAGGUUGAUCUUUUUGGUUAUACUUCUAUUCGCUUAGGUUGUUGGCUUAAUGACUCUAAAUGACCCGUCUUGAAACACGGACCAAGGAGUCCACCAUUAGUGCGAGUAUUUGGGUGCCAAACCCAUAUGCGUAAGGAAACUGAUUGAUACGAAUCCAUUAAGGAGGCAGUAUCGUCCGGCGCUGACGUUUUAUACUGAAUUGACCGAGACAAAGCACUAAUGAUGGGACCCGAAAGAUGGUGAACUAUGCCUGAAUAGGGUGAAGCCAGAGGAAACUCUGGUGGAGGCUCGUAGCGAUUCUGACGUGCAAAUCGAUCGUCAAAUUU